rnacentral:rRNA from 1 species
GCGAGUGAAGCGGGAAGAGCUCAAAUUUGUAAUCUGGCGGCCUUGGGUCGUCCGAGUUGUAAUCUGUAGAGGCGUUGUCCGUGUCGGUCCGUGCACAAGUCUCCUGGAACGGAGCGUCGUAGAGGGUGAGAAUCCCGUCUGUGGCACGGAGGGCCGAUGCUUUUGUGAGGCGCCCUCGAAGAGUCGCGUUGUUUGGGAAUGCAGCGCAAAAUGGGUGGUAAAUUCCAUCUAAGGCUAAAUAUUGGCGAGAGACCGAUAGCGAACAAGUACCGUGAGGGAAAGAUGAAAAGCACUUUGGAAAGAGAGUUAAACAGUACGUGAAAUUGUUGAAAGGGAAACGUUUGAAGUCAGUCGCGUCUCCGGGACACUCAGCCUCGCUUCGGUGAGGUGCACUUGUCUCGGGAUGGGUCAACAUCAGUUUUGGCCGGCAGAUAAGGAUGGGGGGAAGGUGGCGUCGUUUCGGCGACGUGUUAUAGCCCCUUGUCGGACGUGUCGGCUGGGACUGAGGACUUUGCAGCACGCCCUUGUGGUCGGAGGGUUCGCCCUCACGUUAACGUGCUUAGGAUGUUGGCAUAAUGGCUUUAAGCGACCCGUCUUGAAACACGGACCAAGGAGUCUAACAUGCUUGCGAGUGUUCGGGUGGAAAACCCUUGCGCGUAAUGAAAGUGAAAGUUGGGAGCCUUCGUUUGGUCGAGGGUGCACCGAUGCCCGGCCCUGAAGUGUUCUGACGGUGCCGCGGUGGAGCAGGUAUGUUGGGACCCGAAAGAUGGUGAACUAUGCCUGAAUAGGGUGAAGCCAGAGGAAACUCUGGUGGAGGCUCGUAGCGAUUCUGACGUGCAAAUCGAUCGUCGAAUUUGGU